UACGUAGGAGGCGAGCGUUAUCCGGAUUUAUUGGGCGUAAAGUGGGCGUAGGUGGUCUUUCAAGUCGGAUGUGAAAUCUCCUGGCUUAACUGGGAGGGGUCAUCCGAUACUGUUGGACUUGAGUACGGCAGGGGAAAAUGGAAUUCCCGGUGUAGUGGUGAAAUGCGUAGAUAUCGGGAGGAACACCAGAGGCGAAGGCGAUUUUCCAGGCCGAAACUGACACUGAGGCCCGAAAGCGUGGGGAG
rnacentral:rRNA from 1 species